GCGGGUGUAGUUCAGUGGUAGAACCCCAGCCUUCCAAGCUGGUCGUGAGGGUUCGAUUCCCUUCACCCGCUCCA
rnacentral:tRNA from 1 species